rnacentral:rRNA from 1 species
CCUACGGGUGGCAGCAGUGAGGAAUAUUGGUCAAUGGACGAGAGUCUGAACCAGCCAAGUAGCGUGAAGGAUGACUGCCCUAUGGGUUGUAAACUUCUUUUAUAUGGGAAUAAAAUGUUGCACGUGUGGGAUUUUGUAUGUACAAUAUGAAUAAGGAUCGGCUAACUCCGUGCCAGCAGCCGCGGUAAUACGGGGGAUCCGAGCGUUAUCCGGAUUUAUUGGGUUUAAAGGGAGCGUAGGUGGAUUGUUAAGUCAGUUGUGAGAGUUUGCGGCUCAACCGUAAAAUUGCAGUUGAAACUGGCAGUCUGGAGUACAGUAGAGGUGGGCGGAAUUCGUGGUGUAGCGGUGAAAUGCUUAGAUAUCACGAAGAACUCCGAUUGCGAAGGCAGCUGACUGGACUGCAACUGACACUGAGGCUCGAAAGUGUGGGUAUCAAACAGGAGUAGAUACCCCAGUAGUC